UGAAAUGAAUUCCACAGAAAAAUUUCUUCAAUAAGUCGAUGCAAAUUCCCUGACAGUCUCAUCAACCUCAGCGAAAAAAAUUAAAGCCCGUCUAGUAGAAGUAAUGUAAUCCCAAGUCCUUAAGCGUCGUAAAUGCUCUGUUCACUCCCUUUUGCUGGCCCAUUGCAAACACAGCUCUUGUCAGAGUCCUGCAAACAAAUUUUGGUUAAGCAUUCUUAUGGAGUGGUAAGAAUCUCUGAUAUAAACUUUAUCAAAGAACAAAUCCCGCCCAAGAAGUUAUGAUCAAUAACGCCAUUGCCUUCCACGACGUGUGCAAAG
rnacentral:misc_RNA from 1 species